GUGCCUGCUUUGGCAGCACAUAUACUAAAAUUGGAAUAAUACAGAGAAGAUUAGCAACGGCCCCUGUGCAAGGAUGACACGCAAAUUCAUGAAGUGUUCCAUAUUUUU
rnacentral:snRNA from 1 species